rnacentral:misc_RNA from 1 species
UCAAAAACAAGCGGACUUCGGUUCCUUGCUGCCACCCUUGUCUUUUGCGCACCGUAUUGUUUCCUCGGCGGGCUUGCCUGCCGGUUGGACAUUAUCAAAACCUUUUUGUAGUUGCAAUCAGCGUCAGAAAACAAUAAUUAUUA